AGAAUAUUUGACUUAAAUUACAAAUAAAAAUUAUUAAAUAUUUUAUUUUCCUAAAUAAAAAUAAGACUUUUUGAAUCUGUGCAUCAUUUACAAGAAACGGCUCAAGCGACCAAGACUAGGGAACGUGACGUCACGAUGUAUUAUAUGUACUGUGUUGUCCAUUGGUCUUGUCAUUCCGAAAAAGAUUUUGGCGCGUUUUAUUCUCAGAUUUCAUUAAUAUUUAUUUGAUUAUUUCGUGUCCAAAGUGCACUUUACCGGAAAAAACAUGGAAAUUGGUUUUAUUAAAGCUGACAGUGCAAAUUUGCCAAAAAUUGAUUCUUUUAUGAUCGCAAACUUCUUUGCCUUAAACCCGGACUUUUGUUCUUCAGAAUUUAGGAACGUGAAAACUUCAUUAUCAUCAAGACAGUCGUAUGGUGAUGAUGCCAUUGGGUACGUCCAAUUGAAGCGUGACGCGACUUUGUGCACUGUGAAAUGUAAAAUAUGUCCUGAGCACAAAGUCCGAUGUCCAUCAUAUUCUGUGAGCUUGGUAGUAGAAGAAAAAGAGGGCAUAGUUAUAAGUGUCCAGUGCCAUAACUGCCCUGCUUCACAAGGAGGGAUGUAAACACGCGGUAGCUUUCCUUAUGUGGGCACAUCGGAGGAGUGAGGAACCACCAUGUACAUCAAUAAAAUGUUAUUGGAAAAAAUCAAAGUUAGCAAAAGUAGGAAGCACCUUGAAGUACACAACAAUUAAAGAAAUGAAGGGAAAUUCUUCUUCAACAUGUAAAGAGUUUGGUGAUGUAGUUUUAGAGGAUUUUUUGGUUGAAAGCAAAAGAAGGAAUUUAUGUACAGCUCAAAUCCUAAAACAUCAAGCUGAUUACAAAGUGCCCGACAUUCUUCAGUUCUCAAUGCAUUAUUUAAGCAUCAAACAUAAGAAAGGAAGUGACUGUGAAACAUUUUUAGCCAAAAUUAAUGAUAUUUUUACACAAGAAAAUAUAAAUUUUGUGGAAAGUCUGACUCGAGCACAACACAAAAUUCAAGCAUGGCAUGAGUUAAGGUAUGCUAGAAUAACAGCAUCAAAAGCAUUUGAUGUUUCACGAUGCAAAACAACUGAUGGGUCCUUGGUUGCCUUAAUAAUGGGAGCUAAAGUACCAGAUACUCCAGCCAUGAAAAGAGGAAAAUCAUUAGAAGAAGUAGUAAGAAAGGAGUUGGAAAAAAAAUAUGGCAAGAUUGCAGAAUGUGGUUUAAUUAUCAGCCAAAAAUUCCCAAUGGUAGCUGCAUCACCAGAUGGUAUUUUAAAGGGUGACACAGUUAUUGAAAUUAAAUGUCCAACAAGCCAAAAAAGUUUUAUAUCUUAUAUAUGUAACAACACAAUAACAGAAAAGUUUGCAGCCCAAGUUCUUUUGCAAAUGUAUGUGAGUAAUUUAAAAAAAGGUUUAUUUUGUGUGGCAGAUUGGGAAUUUGAAAAGAAUAAUAAAGUCCAUGUAAUACCAAUAGAGUAUGAUGAGAUCAAA
rnacentral:lncRNA from 1 species